AUGGGCGCCUUGGAGCAGAGACCAGAGCAACUUGAUGGCAGGAGCAAGGCCGGCUCCAUGCGCAGGCACCUCACGGAGGCCACGGCGGAGGCUGGAAGUGGUGAUUUGAGGCCGCAGCUCGGUGAUUUUUUAGCACAUCAGGCGGCUUGUGCUGCUGCAGGAGACGGGGAUAAGUCGAUAAGGGCACAACAACGGAGGCGGCUGCUCGAGCUCGGCCACGGCGGAGGCGUUGCGACACCGGGGCGGCUCAGAGGCACCGACCACUUCAAGCUCGGGCCAAGACGAAGCCGGCAGGUGGCAGAGCCGGGACAGCUGGCCCCUGGCCGCAGGAGGCUCGUGACGAGGCCAAGGCAGCUCGGUGGCGGAGCGUCGAGGCGGUUUCGCCGGUUCGAGGUGCGGCUGCAACCACACGACGGUAGUGACAAAGGAGUCCGGAAGUCGGCCAUGGACGCAGAGAUGCAGAGGUUUGGUGCAGGGCCUCGGCGGCUCAUGGAGGCCGCGGGGUUGCGGUAG
rnacentral:rRNA from 1 species